rnacentral:rRNA from 1 species
GAUGAACGCUAGCUACAGGCUUAACACAUGCAAGUCGCAGGGUAACAUGCGGAAAGCUUGCUUUCCUUGAUGGCGACUGGCGCACGGGUGAGUAACGCGUAUCCCACCUUCCCAUAACUUCGGUUUAACCCGUUGAAAGACGUCCUAAUACCGUAUGACAUCUGUUGCUGACAGCAAAUAACGAUUAAAGGUUUAGCGAUUAUGGAUGGGGAUGCGUCUGAUUAGCUUGUGGGCUGGGUAACGGCCCAUCAAGGAGACGAUCAGUAUGGGUUCUGAGAGGAAGGGCCCUCACAGUGGAACUGGGACCAGGGCCAAACAGCUACGGGAGGCAGCAGUGAGGAAGAUUGGAGAAUGGGAGAGAGCCUGAACCAGCCAAGUAGCGUGCAGGAUGACGGCGCGAUGGGUUGUAAACUGCGUUUAGGUGGGGAUAAAGGGCGUGACGUGUCAUGCAGUGCAGGUACCACAUGAAUAAGGACCGGCUAAUUCCGUG